CGCAACAGGAAGACAAAUGUUUAACCCCUAGUUUACUUUGUUUCGCACCAAUACAAAGUGAAAAGUAAUCAGACUUUUUUUUGUCUAUUUGAAAAAUUGAAACAGUGCGUUUUUUAUAAGAUGAUGUUUAAGCUCUUUGUACUGUGAUGAUAGCUAACAUAGAUAGACUUUUAUGUCAAAGACUAUGGUUUUACAAGUUCUUCAAGGAACAAAGAUAACAUUGAGGUCGGUAUGCAGUGAAAUUAUAUGGGGACAAUUUGAAAUUACCCCAAGGAAUUGGACUAGAUAUGAGAUGUCACCAGAAUAAUUUAUCCUGUUGAUUACUUUAGCAGCUCAGAUGCUGCUGGAGUACAUUGACGCCUGCAUAUAUCUUUGAGGAGGAUGUUAAGCAUUUCCAUUCAGUGUGUACUCCAACAGAUAUGUUGGUUAUUCUUUUACCAUAUAAACUGUACAGGGUUCUUCCCCAGCUCCUGCCGUAAGUUUCCUUGGUCAUUCUGAUGAGAAUUCUGGUACUGAAUUUUUUUUUCUUUUUUAAACAAACGUCUUGCUAGAAGCAUUCCUGUGGUUUACCUAAUGUUGUCUGUUAUAAGUGUGACAUUAUACAUUACUCAAAUAUUAGCCGUAAUCUUAGAUUAGUGAUGAUGAAAUGUUAGUGUUUAUUUGUUUGGCAUCCAGCAACCUAAAGAGGGAAGUGAAUGCUUGCAUCAACCCAAAGGAUGAAUUUUGUAAACUUUUUCUUUUACUGAAAAAUAUUAUCUUCGUAUA